rnacentral:rRNA from 1 species
UGGGGAAUAUUGCACAAUGGGCGCAAGCCUGAUGCAGCAACGCCGCGUGAGGGAUGACGGCCUUCGGGUUGUAAACCUCUUUUAGCAGGGAAGAAGCGAAAGUGACGGUACCUGCAGAAAAAGCGCCGGCUAACUACGUGCCAGCAGCCGCGGUAAUACGUAGGGCGCAAGCGUUAUCCGGAAUUAUUGGGCGUAAAGAGCUCGUAGGCGGUUUGUCGCGUCUGCUGUGAAAUCCCGAGGCUCAACCUCGGGUCUGCAGUGGGUACGGGCAGACUAGAGUGCGGUAGGGGAGAUUGGAAUUCCUGGUGUAGCGGUGGAAUGCGCAGAUAUCAGGAAGAACACCGAUGGCGAAGGCAGUUCUCUGGGCCGUAACUGACGCUGAGGAGCGAAAGGCGUGGGGAGCGAAACAGGAUUAGAUACCCUGGUAGUCCACCGCGUAAACGUUGGGCAGCUAGAUGUGGGGACCAUUCCACGGUUUCCGUGUCGCAGCUAACGCAUUAAGUCCGCCCGGCUGGGAGUCACAGGCCGCAAUAA